rnacentral:rRNA from 1 species
UACGAAGGGGGGCUAGCGUUGCUCGGAAUGACUGGGCGUAAAGGGCGCGUAGGCGGUUUGUACAGUCAGGUGUGAAAUUCCCGGGCUCAACCUGGGGGGCUGCACUUGAUACGUAGGAACUGGAGUGGGGGAAGAGGGUCGUGGAAUUCCCAGUGUAGAGGUGAAAUUCGUAGAUAUUGGGAAGAACACCGGUGGCGAAGGCGGCGACCUGGUCCUUGACUGACGCUGAGGCGCGAAAGCGUGGGGAGCAAACAGG